rnacentral:rRNA from 1 species
CUACGGGCCGCUGCAGUGGGGAAUAUUGCACAAUGGGCGCAAGCCUGAUGCAGCCAUGCCGCGUGUAUGAAGAAGGCCUUCGGGUUGUAAAGUACUUUCAGCGGGGAGGAAGGGAGUAAAGUUAAUACCUUUGCUCAUUGACGUUACCCGCAGAAGAAGCACCGGCUAACUCCGUGCCAGCAGCCGCGGUAAUACGGAGGGUGCAAGCGUUAAUCGGAAUUACUGGGCGUAAAGCGCACGCAGGCGGUUUGUUAAGUCAGAUGUGAAAUCCCCGGGCUCAACCUGGGAACUGCAUCUGAUACUGGGAGGCUUGAGUCUCGUAGAGGGGGGUAGAAUUCCAGGUGUAGCGGUGAAAUGCGUAGAGAUCUGGAGGAAUACCAGUGGCGAAGGCGGCCCCCUGGACGAAGACUGACGCUCAGGUGCGAAAGCGUGGGGAGCAAACAGGAUUAGAUACCCCGGUAGUC